rnacentral:rRNA from 1 species
CCACACCUAAAAAUCUUUCCACGUGAAUUGUUUGUUGCAAUGUUGGGCCUCGCUGGGCUAGGAUUUUCCUGGUUCGGUUGGAGGUCAUCAGGGCGUGUCGUUGCUUUGUGAUUCGUUUUGCAUGGUGUCGCGCGCUCUUUUUGUAAACCCAUUUAAUUGAAACUGAUUAUACUGUGGGGACGAAAGUCUCUGCUUUUAACUAGAUAGCAACUUUCAGCAGUGGAUGUCUAGGCUCGCACAUCGAUGAAGAACGCUGCGAACUGCGAUACGUAAUGCGAAUUGCAGGAUUCAGUGAGUCAUCGAAAUUUUGAACGCAUAUUGCACUUUCGGGUUUUGCCUGGAAGUAUGUCUGUAUCAGUGUCCGUACACUAAACUUGCCUUUCUUGCGUCGUGUAGUCGUCGCUUGGAAUGCGCAGAUGUGAGGUGUCUUGCGGAGCCGUUCUGUCUGUUUCGGACAGGGUAGACGCGCAAGUCCCUUUAAAGUGUGACGUGUUUCUCUGUAGUGCGCUGUGGCAGCUUUUGGUGGCGUGCGGGACGUAGUCUGUGGACGAGUCUGGCGACCUUUGGCGCUUGCAUUGUGGGGAUUCCUUAAUUGGCGGUAUGUUCGGCUUCGGCUUUGACAAUGCAGCUUAUUUUGGUUUCUCUGCGUGAGUGUUGUAUGGGUGAACCGGGUGGUCUGUGGGCGUUUUAUUCGUUUUGCGCGCGUGUCCUUAAUUGUCUUUGUCGUGCUUUUGGGAGCGUCUCAAUUUGGGAAAAUUAAUACUUGUUCUUUUUUGUAAUGAGUAUCUCAAUUGGACCUGAUAUCAGACAAG